UACGUAGGGUGCGAGCGUUAAUCGGAAUUACUGGGCGUAAAGCGUGCGCAGGCGGUGCUGUAAGACCGAUGUGAAGUCCCCGGGCUUAACCUGGGAACUGCAUUGGUGACUGCAGCGCUGGAGUAUGGCAGAGGGGGGUGGAAUUCCACGUGUAGCAGUGAAAUGCGUAGAGAUCCGGAAGAACACCAGUGGCGAAGGCGGCCCGCUGGGCAGUGGCUGACGCUGAGGCGCGACAGCGUGGGGAGCAAACAGG
rnacentral:rRNA from 1 species